rnacentral:rRNA from 1 species
CCUACGGGAGGCAGCAGUGGGGAAUAUUGCGCAAUGGGCGCAAGCCUGACCCAGCAACGCCGCGUGAAGGAAGAAGGCUUUCGGGUUGUAAACUUCUUUUCUCAGGGACGAAGCAAGUGACGGUACCUGAGGAAUAAGCCACGGCUAACUACGCGCCAGCCGCCGCGGUAAUACGGAGGUGGCAAGCGUUAUCCGGAUUUACUGGGUGGAAAGGGAGUGUAGGCGGGACUGCAAGGCAGAUGUGAAAACCACGGGCCCAACCUGUGGCCUGCAUUUGAAACUGUAGUUCUUGAGUACUGGAGAGGCAGACGGAAUUCCUAGUGUAGCGGUGAAAUGCGUAGAUAUUAGGAGGAACACCAGUGGCGAAGGCGGUCUGCUGGACAGCAACUGACGCUGAGGCGCGAAAGCGUGGGGAGCAAACAGGAUUAGAUACCCGAGUAGUC